rnacentral:rRNA from 1 species
UCCAGACUCCUACGGGAGGCAGCAGUGGGGAAUAUUGCACAAUGGGGGGAACCCUGAUGCAGCGACGCCGCGUGGGUGAAGGAGCACCUCGGUGCGUAAAGCCCUAUCGGCAGGGAAGAAACAGACGGUACCUGACUAAGAAGCCCCGGCUAACUACGUGCCAGCAGCCGCGGUAAUACGUAGGGGGCAAGCGUUAUCCGGAUUCACUGGGUGUAAAGGGAGCGUAGACGGCGACGCAAGUCUGGAGUGAAAGCCCGGGGCCCAACCCCGGGACUGCUCUUGGAACUGCGUGGCUGGAGUGCAGGAGGGGCAGGCGGAAUUCCUGGUGUAGCGGUGAAAUGCGUAGAUAUCAGGAGGAACACCGGUGGCGAAGGCGGCCUGCUGGACUGCAACUGACGUUGAGGCCCGAAAGCGUGGGGAGUAAACAGGAUUAGAUACCCGAGUAUG